AUGAUGGCAUAGGGAGAGACUGUCUCCUGAAGACAGCGCCGAAGGAGUAAGCCCGCGAGCGGGUGAAUCUCUCAGGCAAAAGGACCUUUGCCGGACG
rnacentral:ncRNA from 2 species